rnacentral:rRNA from 1 species
AACGAACGCUGGCGGCAGGCCUAACACAUGCAAGUCGAACGCACUCUUCGGAGUGAGUGGCAGACGGGUGAGUAACACGUGGGAAUCUACCCUGUACUGCGGGAUAACACAGAGAAAUUUGUGCUAAUACCGCAUACGCCCUUCGGGGGAAAGAUUUAUCGGUAUAGGAUGAGCCCGCGUCUGAUUAGCUAGUUGGUGGGGUAAUGGCCCACCAAGGCGACGAUCAGUAGCUGGUCUGAGAGGAUGAUCAGCCACACUGGGACUGAGACACGGCCCAGACUCCUACGGGAGGCAGCAGUGGGGGAAUAUUGGACAAUGGGCGCAAGCCUGAUCCAGCCAUGCCGCGUGUGUGAUGACGGCCCUAGGGUUGUAAAGCACUUUCAACGGUGAAGAUAAUGACGGUAACCGUAGAAGAAGCCCCGGCUAACUUCGUGCCAGCCGCCGCGGUAA